CACAUUCACUUCUCACAAUUCAGAUUCAGUUCUCAAAUUCAAUUUCAAGUUACUGAGACAGACAUCCGGGUAGUUGGAGGAUGAAGGAAGAGCAAUCGAGCGCAGAUCGAUAGAUAGCGUUCAUUGGCGCAUAGGACUCCUCUUGGGCAAAUCAGCACAUACGUUUUGGAGCAUAGUACAUGAAAAAAGGAAGAAGCUCUUGCUUUGCCAGUGGCCGGCCUUGACCCAGAACGCCCAGACUGGUGUGACCACCAUGGAUUCGGCUGGGACAAAUACGGUGAACAUCCAGAGGCGGGUGACACAGUAGGCUAUCCAGGUCACCUGUCCCCCAGGACGUUUCUCCAGUGGCUCACAGGACAGGGCCACAUUCCUGUCUUACCAGAAGAGAAACUUCAGUCUUUGUGCAGUUCAACCACACCUGUGACAUCCUGUAUGGUUCACAUACAGUUUGCUACCCAACAGUCGCUGCAUGUUGUAAUACAAUCCACCUACCUGUUAAGCAUAUGCAAACUUCUACUGAGUUCAAACAAGUGAUGACAGAGGCCUUCCAUCUAGGGCAGGCAUUUCAUCAGGUUUAAGUGAAAUGUUUCAGUUUCAAAUAUGCAUAUACAGGGCUGGUCAUAAAAUUAGAAUAUCAUCAAAAAGUUUAUUUAUUUCAGUAAUUCCAUUCAAAAUGUGGAACUUGUAUAAUGUAUACAUUCAUUCCACACAGACUUAUAUUUCAAGUGUUUAUUCAUUCAAAAAGUGAACCUUGUAUAAUGUAUACAUUCCACACAGACUGAUAUAUUUCAUAUAUUUCUUUUAAUUUUGAUGAUUAUAACCGACAACUAAUGAAAAUCACAAAUUCAGUAUCUCAGAAAAUUAGAAUAUUGUGAAAAGGUUCAAUAUUGAAGACACCUGGUGCCACACUCUAAUCAGCUAAUUAACUCAAAACACCUGCAAAGACCUUUAAAUGGUCUCUCUGUGUAGUCUACAGAACUAGACUAUCAUGGGGAAGACUGCUGACUUGACAGCUGUCCAAAAGAUGACCAUUGACACCUUGCACAAGGAGGGCAAGACACAAAAGUUCAUUGCUAAAGAGGCUGGCUGUUCACAGAGCUGUGUCCAAGCACAUUAAUAGAGGCAAAGGGAAGGAAAAGAUGUGGUAGAAAAAAGUGUAUAAGCAAUAGGGAUAAUCGCACCCUGGAGAGGAUUGUGAAACAAAACCCAUUCAAAAAUGUGGGGGAGAUUCACAAAGAGUUGACUGCAGCUGGAGUCAGUGCUUC
rnacentral:lncRNA from 1 species